UAGUGUUACAGCUCUUUUAGAAUCUGUCUAGUAGGCUUUCCGGUUUUUACAGGAAAGUCUCC
ensembl:snRNA U7 U7 small nuclear RNA